rnacentral:rRNA from 1 species
UUCGCAAUGCCCGAAAGGGUGACGAAGCGACGCCGCGUGGGUGAGGAAGGCCUUCGGGUUGUAAAGCCCUGUCAGGAGUUAAGAAAUGUAAGUGUGCUAAUAUCGCAUUUACUUGACGAAGGCUCCAAAGGAGGUCACGGCUAACUCUGUGCCAGCAGCCGCGGUAAUACAGAGGUGGCAAGCGUUGUUCGGAAUUAUUGGGCGUAAAGAGCACGUAGGUGGGUUUGUAAGUCAGAUGUGAAAGCCUCCUGUUCAACGGGAGAAUUGCAUCUGAAACUACUGAUCUUGAGUAUAGGAGGGGAGAAUGGAACUUCUGGUGGAGCGGUGAAAUGCGUAGAUAUCAGAAGGAACGCCGGCGGCGAAAGCGAUUCUCUGGCCUAUUACUGACACUCAGUGUGCGAAAGCUAGGGGAGCAAACGGGAUUAGAUACCCCGGUAGUCCUAGCCGUAAACGAUGGGCACUAAGUAGAGGGGUUUU